UGCAGUCGACGAUGACCACUUCGGUGGGGAUUAGUGGCGAACGGGUGAGUAACACGUGGGCAAUCUGCCCUUCACUCUGGGACAAGCCCUGGAAACGGGGUCUAAUACCGGAUAUGAGCCUGGGAGGCAUCUCCUGGGUUGUAAAGCUCCGGCGGUGAAGGAUGAGCCCGCGGCCUAUCAGCUUGUUGGUGAGGUAAUGGCUCACCAAGGCGACGACGGGUAGCCGGCCUGAGAGGGCGACCGGCCACACUGGGACUGAGACACGGCCCAGACUCCUACGGGAGGCAGCAGUGGGGAAUAUUGCACAAUGGGCGAAAGCCUGAUGCAGCGACGCCGCGUGAGGGAUGACGGCCUUCGGGUUGUAAACCUCUUUCAGCAGGGAAGAAGCGAAAGUGACGGUACCUGCAGAAGAAGCGCCGGCUAACUACGUGCCAGCAGCCGCGGUAAUACGUAGGGCGCAAGCGUUGUCCGGAAUUAUUGGGCGUAAAGAGCUCGUAGGCGGCUUGUCACGUCGAUUGUGAAAGCCCGAGGCUUAACCUCGGGUCUGCAGUCGAUACGGGCUAGCUAGAGUGUGGUAGGGGAGAUCGGAAUUCCUGGUGUAGCGGUGAAAUGCGCAGAUAUCAGGAGGAACACCGGUGGCGAAGGCGGAUCUCUGGGCCAUUACUGACGCUGAGGAGCGAAAGCGUGGGGAGCGAACAGGAUUAGAUACCCUGGUAGUCCACGCCGUAAACGGUGGGAACUAGGUGUUGGCGACAUUCCACGUCGUCGGUGCCGCAGCUAACGCAUUAAGUUCCCCGCCUGGGGAGUACGGCCGCAAAGGCUAAAACUCAAAGGAUUUGACGGGGGCCCGCACAAGCGGCGGAGCAUGUGGCUUAAUUCGACGCAACGCGAAGAACCUUACCAA
rnacentral:rRNA from 1 species